GAAAUGCGAUAAGUAAUGUGAAUUGCAGAAUUCAGUGAAUCAUCGAAUCUUUGAACGCACCUUGCGCUCCUUGGUAUUCCUUGGAGCAUGCCUGUUUGAGUAUCAUGAAAUCUUCAAAGUAAAUCUUUUGUUAACUCAAUUGGUUUCUACUUUGGUAUUGGAGGUCUUUGCAGCUUCACACCUGCUCCUCUUUGUUCAUUAGCUGGAUCUCAGUGUUAUGCUUGGUUCCACUCGGCGUGAUAAGUUAUCUAUCGCUGAGGACACUGUAAAAGGUGGCCAAGGUAAAUGCAGAUGAACCGCUUCUAAUAGUCCAUUGACUUGGACAAUACUUUUAUGAUCUGAUCUCAAAUCAGGUAGGACUACCGCUGAACUUAAG
rnacentral:misc_RNA from 1 species